rnacentral:rRNA from 1 species
CAUAUCAAUAAGCGGAGGAAAAGAAACCAACAGGGAUUGCCUCAGUAACGGCGAGUGAAGCGGCAACAGCUCAAAUUUGAAAUCUGGCCCCCCCGGGUCCGAGUUGUAAUUUGCAGAGGAUGCUUUUGGCGCGGUGCCUUCCGAGUUCCCUGGAACGGGACGCCAUAGAGGGUGAGAGCCCCGUACGGUUGGACACCAAGCCUGUGUAAAGCUCCUUCGACGAGUCGAGUAGUUUGGGAAUGCUGCUCAAAAUGGGAGGUAUAUUUCUUCUAAAGCUAAAUACCGGCCAGAGACCGAUAGCGCACAAGUAGAGUGAUCGAAAGAUGAAAAGCACUUUGAAAAGAGGGUUAAACAGCACGUGAAAUUGUUAAAAGGGAAGCGCUUGUGACCAGACUUGCGCCCGGUGAAUCACCCAGCUCUCGCGGCUGGGGCACUUUGCCGGCUCAGGCCAGCAUCAGCUCGCCGUCGGGGACAAAAGCUUCGGGAACGUAGCUCUCUUCGGGGAGUGUUAUAGCCCGCUGCACAAUACCCUUCGGCGGGCUGAGGUCCGCGCUCCGCAAGGAUGCUGGCGUAAUGUCAUCAGCGACCCCUCUAAGCACCCACCGAAG